UGGUUUUCUUUCAUAAUUUUACAAUGAGAGUUUCUGUUUCAUAACCUUCUACUAUUUCAGACCCCUUUUGUAGUAUAUUUUUUUAUUUUAAUUUUUUUCUGAGGCUUCUGGUGGUGGUGGCUUACAUGUUUAGUCACUGUUGUCUAUUUUUUUUACAGGCUUUUAAUAGUUGUGUUUUCGCUGCUGUUGCUGCUGCCACGUCUCUUGGUUUGCUUCUGCUCUGGUACUGCCGUUGCUGCUAGGGUACGGAUUUAGUUUCUGCGGUGCUAGUUGACUAGCUACUAUCUUUAUUUUAGUUUAAUUUUAAAAAUUCUGACAGCUUCUGUGGAGGCAACUACGCUAAUGUGAUCGUGGUUAUUUAUGUCCUAACCUCGUAUAACUUAUUAUAGUUGUUAUAACUUAUUUGUUUUGUAAUAGAACCUCUAUCA